GAUGAAGAACGUAGUGAACUGCGAUAAGUAAUGUGAAUUGCAGAAUUCAGUGAAUCAUCGAGUCUUUGAACGCACAUUGCGCCCCCUGGCAUUCCGGGGGGCAUGCCUGUCCGAGCGUCAUUGCUGCCCUUCAAGCCCGGCUUGUGUGUUGGGUCGUCGUCCCCCCCGGGGGACGGGCCCGAAAGGCAGCGGCGGCACCGCGUCCGGUCCUCGAGCGUAUGGGGCUUUGUCACCCGCUCGAUUAGGGCCGGCCGGGCGCCAGCCGGCGUCUCCAACCUUCUAUUUUACCAGGUUGACCUCGGAUCAGGUAGGGAUACCUGCUGAACUUAAGCAUAUCAAUAAGCGGAGGA
rnacentral:misc_RNA from 1 species